GACGAACGCUGGCGGCGUGCUUAACACAUGCAAGUCGAACGGAAAGGCCCUUCGGGGUACUCGAGUGGCGAACGGGUGAGUAACACGUGGGUGAUCUGCCCUGCACUUUGGGAUAAGCCUGGGAAACUGGGUCUAAUACCGAAUAGGACCACGCGCUUCAUGGUGUGUGGUGGAAAGCUUUUGCGGUGUGGGAUGGGCCCGCGGCCUAUCAGCUUGUUGGUGGGGUAAUGGCCUACCAAGGCGACGACGGGUAGCAGGCCUGAGAGGGUGACCGGCCACACUGGGACUGAGAUACGGCCCAGACUCCUACGGGAGGCAGCAGUGGGGAAUAUUGCACAAUGGGCGCAAGCCUGAUGCAGCGACGCCGCGUGAGGGAUGACGGCCUUCGGGUUGUAAACCUCUUUCAAUAGGGACGAAGCGCAAGUGACGGUACCUAUAGAAGAAGCACCGGCCAACUACGUG
rnacentral:rRNA from 1 species